rnacentral:tRNA from 1 species
GGGGUAUAGUUCAGUUGGUAGAACGUCUGAAUGGCAUUCAGAAGAUCAUCGGUUCGAGUCCGAUUAUCUCC